rnacentral:lncRNA from 1 species
AUGACCACUGGGAGGAGGAUUUUUGGUGAAGGUUUUGUGAUGGAGUACAGUCUGGCUGGAGGUCUUCUGGCUGGAAGCUUUCUGGCUGAAGGUCUUCCGGCUGGGGGCUUUCUGGCUGGAGGUCUCCUGGCUGAGGGCUUUCUGGCUGAAGGUCUCCUGGCUGGGGGCUUUCUGACUGGAGGUUUUCUGGCUGUAAACUUUCUGGCUGGGGGAUUUCUGGUUCACGGAGUUCUGAUUGGAAAGUAUCGACCAUCUUUAGGGUGAAUUGCUGGGGUUCCCUGGUCUGGCGCCUUGUCCUAGAAAAGAAUCUGCGGCGGCGGUUGAGGCUAAUCCGAAGGGAAUGAAGAAAACUGGAAGACCUGAAGUGGAUCCGCUUGUUGGGCAGGAGGGAAUGGUCGGGCGGGGCCUCGAUAUUGCCAGUAUACCAGAAGACCCACCAGAUGAGGCUGAAGAAGAUUAAGAUGGAACCGCAGUAGAGCAGCAAGUCGUAAAAGAAGACUUCGGAGAAGACACCAGCCAGCAGUACAGCCAGUCCCACCACAUCAAAGCUCACGGCCAGCCAAAAGGCUAUGGUGCAGCGGCCCAGCCCGGGCUUACUCACUGAAAGGUGCCCAAGCAGCAUGUGUUGCCUCUGGGAAAUACUGUCCUGAAUCUCUCGAUCUGGAGAGCUCAUGGAGAGCUCAAGACCUGUACUGGGAACUGUUACAGCCCCGGCACUCUCCACAAUUUCUGCAGUCUCCGAACUAUCCACAGCCGUUGCACUCGAUUUAACCUCGAAGACCUCCUCAACCUCUGCAGUUGACAUAUCCUCAGAGCUCGAAGCGGAGACCCGCCGGCUCCGGGACGGACAGCGCCGUCUACCUGGGCUCAGGUGAGGUCGCCGGGUCCCCAUGGCAACGUCCUGAAGGUGUGUGUUGGUGAGCGAGGCGGGGAGAGUGAGUUGGAGAGGCCUGGGGAGCUUACAGGUUCUUGAGUUCAAACCUGUCCGAAAGGAAAGAGAUUUAUGCCCAGGUCCCAGGGGGGCGUCCCCCUCCCCCUCCCCCUGCAUCUUCCCCGCGCGCUCUAGUUCAGAGCACAUCUGGAGCGCAGGGUUCGGUUCUGCACGCCACGCAGUGACAAAGGGCAUUGACAGCGUCCUGAGCUAGGGGAGGAGAGGGGAUGGGACGGGACAAGUGACUGCCUUGAAGAUCGGUGGAAGAAGCUAAAUAGAGACUGGGAAAGGGAGGAAGGAGGAGGAAGAAUUGACUUGUCUUCAAAUAUUUUGAAGAGCUACGAAGCGGAAAAGGAAUCAGAGCUAUUCAGUUUAUACUCAGAGGGAAGAACUAGAGGGAAGGGGUGGGAGUUUCGGAAAAUGUAGACUCCUUGUAAAACUUUGAUAAUGAUUUAAAAGGCAACUACCGAUCAAAGAAUUUUUUCUGUGUCCCAUACGACUUAGAAUUUUUUUUCAAACGUUAGGUUUUCCCAGGAUGUCCAAAGUUUGUUGUACAAGGGGUGGUUAGUAGGAACAGGGUAAUUUUGGGAAUGGAAGCAGUAGCAACCCAGGAAGGGGAUGAAUAAAGAGUCUCUUAAAGACGAAAGCUGGCA